rnacentral:lncRNA from 1 species
CAAGGGCCCCUUGAGGGCACCUGCCCCUGAGCUCCCACUCCCAAGGGCCAGGGUGGGCCAGCGGAGCUUGCCAGGCCACCUCUACUCAGCGGUGCCUCCCUUUGUCUGUCUUGGCCCUCAGUCUCUCUGGCUGCCAGUGGGGCCCUUGGAUGACAUCUGUGACAUUGUGCCCCUCUGCUUAUUUAUUCAACCAAUGGGUCCUGGCACCUCUGACAAGUCAACCUGGUGCAGGGACCAGGGACCCAGCUGACAGAAGGGGACGUGGUGCCCGCCCGCACUUGGCUCCACUUGGGGUGGGGAAGUGGUUGUGGCUCCUCCAGAAAAAUCACUGUGAUUUGUUGGAGCUGCAUGAUGAGGAACGGGCCAGACAAAUGGGGACGUUUGUCUGAAUGGGAAUCUGGGAGGGCUUCCUGAGAAGGUGACACAGGAGCCGAGGCCUCAGUGACAUCAAAGAAACCGCCACAUGGAGACCUGUGGGGAAGCACUCCAGGCAGAG